AUUGAACGCUGGCGGCAGGCCUCACACAUGCAAGUCGAACGAGUGGCGGACGGGUGAGUAAUGUCUGGGAAACUGCCUGAUGGAGGGGGAUAACUACUGAAAAGGGUAGCUAAUACCGCAUACCAUCGGAUGUGCCCAGAUGGGAUUAGCUAGUAGGUGGGGUAAAGGCGCACCUAGGCGACGAUCCCUAGCUGGUCUGAGAGGAUGACCAGCCACAUUGGAACGGUAACACGGGCAAGACGCCUACGGGAGUCAGCAGUGGGGAAUAUGGCACAAGGGGCGCAAGCCUGAUGCAGCCAUGCCGCGUGUAUGAAGAAGGCCUUCGGGGUGUAAAGUACUUUCAGCGCGUAGGCGUUACCCGGAGAAGAAGCGCCGGCUAACUCCGGGCCAGCAGGCGCGGUAAUAC
rnacentral:rRNA from 1 species